rnacentral:tRNA from 1 species
GCGUCGGUAGUAUAGUGGUUAGACUGUAAGGACCAAUAUCCUAGCCUUCCAAGCUAGGCACCCGGGUUCGAAUCCCGGCCGACGCA